rnacentral:lncRNA from 1 species
GCGUAACAGAGUGAACAGCAUCAGAGUGGGUGUUCAAGAAUAGUCUCUGUAGAGUGACCGCAUGAGGAUAAGAAGUCAGCAAGAGGACAAGGAGCCAGCAAGAGGAGAUGCUUGGGAGGCCAGCCUUGGAAGGACUGAAGACAGAAGAGCUGCAGGCAGAGUUUGCCUUUUACUUGCCACAGUGGACGCAUGCUUGUGGUGAAAGGGCUCCAGGACCGCUUGGCUGGGAUGGUAACGCAGCGCACAGUGGCGGAGAGCUCAGAGACUAGGCCUGUCUGGAGGGUCCUGUAUGUGAGCUGAUCAUCCACCUCACAGCAGCCUUUCAGCUAUCACCCUCAUUUUACAGGCGAAGGAUAGGAAGUAGCUGAGGAAAAGAGAAUCAUCAUCCACUCCAUCUGGCAGAGUUCAGCAUAUGCUGCACUGGGAUUUUUGUAUUAAAAGAGCUGAAGAGAUUUUUUGAUUAGAAGGAUUAUUCUAGGAGUUUUCCACAAGGAAUCAGCAGCCUGUGGUUAUGUUCUGCACCUAUUAAAAGAUGGAGUUGUAAAACUGAUGUGUAUGUAAUCUCUUUUCAGGUUUCCAAGGCAACGGUGGCAGCAAUUCUGUGAAUAGCUCUUCCAUUUUUCCUUCAAGACUUUCAGGCUGUGAAAUUGUUUUGCUUUCAAAAACUAUUCUUUCUUUAAAAAAUAAUACAUGCAUUUAGAUUCAUUGUGAGAAGAUCUUUAUAAGUUAGGCAUAUUUCCAGGAUGUUAGUCCAAUAAGUAAACAGUUUUGCUACUAACAGGCUGUGCAAUUUUGGGUAAGCCAGUUAUCCUCCGUAAGUUUCAAUUCCUUCAUCUACAAAAUAUAAACAAAAAUCAUAUCUCUACAAUAGGGUUGUGAGAGAUGUAUGUGAAAUGUUUGGCACAAUCUAUGGCUUGUGAUUAUGAUUAGUGAUUGUUCUGAAUGAAAAUUUGGUCAGUUGGGAUGCCAGGUGAGGUUGUAACUGUUCAAAAUGAAGGCAAUGCCCCUUCAGCAUCAACAAAGUCUGUAGACAUGCCCCUCCUAUUAAUCCUGAUAUUGAAAAUGUGUGUUUUCUCAUUUUUUCCUAAGUGUUUGUUUGUAUCUUUGUAUUUAAAGUACAUCAUGUAUAAAUAGCAUGUAUUUGAGUUUUGUUUUGUUUACUCAAUAAAAAGUUCUGCCUUUAAUUUGAGUGUUUGCACC